AAAUAAAUUAUGGAAACAUACCAUAUUAGUCGAAAAACAACACAAAUGUGAUUUAAUGUACAAGAUAGGCAAUAUGAACCAGAAACCAUAUCUGAACAGAUCACAAAUAUAAAACAUCAAAUCGCCAAGAAUCCAUUACUAGAUUUGGUGUUAGUAGUUUGAGAUCCGAUUAAAGGAGAUAAUGAAAUGAAACACACAAAUCGGAUCCAAACACGACCAUCAUCAAAACCCCCAGACUAGCAACCAACAAAAAAUGAAACCCCAAUCCAUCAGCCCCCAAAGGUCCUCCACAUCAAAUCAUAACCCCAUAGUCCAGCACAUAACAAAAGCCCCCUUACUAAUCGAACUAAGAAACCCACAAUCUAUCAACCCUCGGACUCGGCUUAUAAUAGAACUGAAAAAAAUCUUCGGGAAAGUCCUCAUUUAGCAGCCGAAAAGGCUAAACAACACCUAAGCAAUAACGAUGGCAAAGGAAGGAGAAGAGAUGGUGGGUUGAAAUGGAGAAGAAGAGAAAAUGGAAGAGAUGGAAGAUGGUGGCGGAAGGGGUAUAAGUUCAACUGAGUUUCGAUCGAAA
rnacentral:lncRNA from 1 species